CGAGAAAUUUCAACGGCCACGGUACCCUAACCGUGCAAAGGUAGCAUAAUCACUUGUUCUCUAAAUAGGGACUCGUAUCAAUGGCAUCACGAGGGUCCUACUGUCUCCUUUUUCUAAUCAGUGAAACUAAUCUCCCCGUGAAGAAGCGGGAAUAUUUUUAUAAGACGAGAAGACCCCAUGGAGCUUUAAACCCAACUAUAUCCCUAAUUCCCUAUAACCAUUUAACCCCUUAGAAUUUAUAUAUUUGGUUUUAGGUUGGGGCGACCACGGAGUAAAGCCUAACCUCCACGAUGAACGAAAUAACCUCCUUAUCCAAGAACCACAUAUCUAAGAAUUAGUAAACUAACAUAUAAAUGACCCAUUAUUGAUCAACGAACCAAGUUACCCUGGGGAUAACAGCGCAAUCCAUUUUAAGAGCCCCUAUCGACAAAUGGGUUUACGACCUCGAUGUUGGAUCAGGAUAUCCCAGUGGUGCAGCAGCUACUAAAGGUUCGUUUGUUCAACGAUUAAAAUCCU
rnacentral:rRNA from 1 species